ACAUGCGCGCUGCGGCUCGAAACAUAACUAUCUGACGAGUUGACUGUCCGGCAGACCCAAGGCGGAGCUAUGGUGGGAGGACUUACCUGGAUUACCGCCCGACAUUUUUUUGACGGGUCAUUGAGUUAUGCAAGAUUACUUGCAAUGUGCAAUGCAACGCGGGCGGCAUGAUCGUGCGCCGGUGGGUGGGGCGGCGCGAACCAAUCACAGAGCAGAACGAGAAUUGAAGUGCGCACGAGUGGCACUACACGUGCUCAGGGCGAACGACGCGUUCCUUAUUCGAAAUUGCAAGAAAUUU